CCCUUAGAUGUUCUGGGCCGCACGCGCGCUACACUGAUGCAUUCAACGAGUUUUACCUUGGCCGAGAGGCCUGGGCAAUCUUUUAAACCUGCAUCGUGAUAGGGAUAGAUUAUUGCAAUUAUUAAUCUUGAACGAGGAAUUCCUAGUAAACGCGAAUCAUCAAUUCGCAUUGAUUACGUCCCUGCCCUUUGUACACACCGCCCGUCGCUACUACCGAUUGAAUGGUUUAGUGAGAUCUCUGGAUUGACGCUGGCUAGGGGGCGACCCUUGGCCAGACUGUUGAGAAACUGCUCAAACUUGAUCAUUUAGAGGAAGUAAAAGUCGUAACA
rnacentral:rRNA from 1 species